rnacentral:misc_RNA from 1 species
AACGAGGCCGACCUGCGGCUGAGUUACCUGCGGAGGGAUCAUUACAAGUGACCCCGGUUUACCACCGGGAUGUUCAUAACCCUUUGUUGUCCGACUCUGUUGCCUCCGGGGCGACCCUGCCUUCGGGCGGGGGCUCCGGGUGGACACUUCAAACUCUUGCGUAACUUUGCAGUCUGAGUAAACUUAAUUAAUAAAUUAAAACUUUCAGCAACGGAUCU